rnacentral:rRNA from 1 species
AGCAGCCGCGGUAAUUCCAGCUCCAAUAGCGUAUAUUAAAGUUGUUGCAGUUAAAAAGCUCGUAGUUGAAUUUCGGGAUCAAUAUAUCGGUCGUGCCAUUGGUACGUACUGGUAUCAUUGGUUUCUCCUUUCUGACGAACCAUGAUGUCAUUAAUUUGGUGUCUUGGGAAAUCAGGACUGUUACUUUGAAAAAAUUAGAGUAUUUAAAGCAGGCUCACGCUUGAAUACAUUAGCAUGGAAUAAUGAAAUAGGACGUUUGAUUCUAUUUUGUUGGUUUCUAGGAUUGACGUAAUGAUUAAUAGGGAUAGUUGGGGGCAUUAGUAUUCAAUUGUCAGAGGUGAAAUUCUUGGAUUUAUUGAAGACUAACUACUGCGAAAGCAUUUGCCAAGGAUGUUUUCAUUAAUCAAGAACGAAAGUUAGGGGAUCGAAGACGAUCAGAUACCGUCGCAGUCUUAACCAUAAACUAUGCCGACUAGGGAUCGGAUGAUGUUAAUUUUUAAUGUACUCU